rnacentral:rRNA from 1 species
CUUUUGACCUCGGAUCAGGUAGGGAUACCCGCUGAACUUAAGCAUAUCAAUAAGCGGAGGAAAAGAAACCAACAGGGAUUGCCCUAGUAACGGCGAGUGAAGCGGCAACAGCUCAAAUUUGAAAUCUGGCUCUUUUAGAGUCCGAGUUGUAAUUUGCAGAGGGCGCUUUGGCUUUGGCAGCGGUCCAAGUUCCUUUGGAACAGGACGUCACAGAGGGUGAGAUUCCCCGUACGUGGUCGCUGGCUAUUGCCGUGUAAAGCCCCUUUCGACGAGUCGAGUUGUUUGGGAAUGCAGCUCUAAAUGGGGAGGUACAUUUUCUUCUAAAGCUAAAUAUUGGCCAGAGACCGAUAGCGCACAAGUAAGUGAUCGAAAGAUGAAAAGCACUUUGGAAAGAGAGUCAA